CGUCCACAAUCAGCGUAUAGAGAGGUUGUGGAGAGACGUCUGGUCUACGAUGUUCUGCAUGCUUUGGAAGAAGGUGGCCACCUUAAUAUUUCUGACCUUACUCAUCUGUUCUGUUGCCACUGUGUAUUUCUCCCACGGCUUCAAGAUGAUCUCAACCUAUUCCGAAACACCUGGGACAAUCACCCAAUACGCACAGAGGGGAUUCAGCACACCACAGAUAGACUGGGAGAGUAGUGGACUGAUGUUGAUGCACAUUCCAGCAUUGUUGUGCCUCAAACCCAAUGUCCCCCGACUGAUGAGCGAAUAGAAGCACUCAGAGAAAAUGUUGAGCCCAAAGGACCUUCACAGAAUUCGGCUGGGACAUCUAUCUAGCUGCACUUCAUUUUUGCCAAUCGAUUAUGGAAUAAAUGUGAUUGUCAUCUUUAGCCUUAAAGAGGCAGACUUCUAGCAGAAGCAAUUAAGAAAGAAUUAAUAUUUGUACUCAAUACGUUAAAGUAUCUGAAUAAAAAAA